GACGAACGCUGGCGGCGUGCCUAAUACAUGCAAGUAGAACGCACAGUUUAUACCGUAGCUUGCUACACCAUAGACUGUGAGUUGCGAACGGGUGAGUAACGCGUAGGUAACCUGCCUGGUAGCGGGGGAUAACUAUUGGAAACGAUAGCUAAUACCGCAUAAUAUUAAUUAUUGCAUGAUAAUUAAUUGAAAGGUGCAAUUGCACCACUACCAGAUGGACCUGCGUUGUAUUAGCUAGUAGGUGAGGUAACGGCUCACCUAGGCGACGAUACAUAGCCGACCUGAGAGGGUGAUCGGCCACACUGGGACUGAGACACGGCCCAGACGCCUACGGGAGGCAGCAGUAGGGAAUCUUCGGCAAUGGACGAAAGUCUGACCGAGCAACGCCGCGUGAGUGAAGAAGGUUGUCGGAUCGUAAAGCUCUGUUGUAAGAGAAGAACGGGUGUGAGAGUGGAAAGUUCACACUGUGACGGUAUCUUACCAGAAAGGGACGGCUAACUACGUG
rnacentral:rRNA from 1 species